AGAGUCAUACCACGUCAUUUUAUGAUCAAGUAUCCGGAGGGAGAGAAGCUUUUGUGAGCUGUGGAUGAGUCUCUUGCCAUCGACAGAAGAGGAGAGGUGCAGUGGGCAUCUUAUAUCCACUGGCACAGACAGUGCUCCUUCAUAGUCCAUGGUUAUCCUGGUUCACAGAUGUCAGCCUCACAGGGCUAAAUCCUAAAUACAGAGUCUGAAUGAGGAGGACUUCCACUCUGUGCUUCUGCUUCCGAGUUCACGCAAAGGAGGGUAACGGCCCAAUUCCACGGAGGUGAGAGAAUGAAAGGAAGAACAUGAAUUUUGGUAGAUAUGGAAGGAGAGUCAGUCCGGAAGGAG